GACGAACCGUGCGAACGUUGUUCGGAAUAACUGGGCUUAAAGGGCGCGUAGGCGGGCUGCCAAGUUCGGGGUGAAAUCCUCCCGCUCAACGGGAGAACUGCCCCGAAUACUGGCGGUCUCGAGGGAGGUAGGGGCGUGCGGAACUAUGGGUGGAGCGGUGAAAUGCGUUGAUAUCCAUAGGAACUCCGGUGGCGAAGGCGGCACGCUGGACCUCUUCUGACGCUGAGGAGCGAAAGUGUGGGGAGCGAACAGG
rnacentral:rRNA from 1 species